GUGGGGAAUCUUAGACAAUGGGGGAAACCCUGAUCUAGCCAUGCCGCGUGAGCGAUGAAGGCCUUAGGGUUGUAAAGCUCUUUCAGCUGGGAAGAUAAUGACGGUACCAGCAGAAGAAGCCCCGGCUAACUCCGUGCCAGCAGCCGCGGUAAUACGGAGGGGGCUAGCGUUGUUCGGAAUUACUGGGCGUAAAGCGCGCGUAGGCGGACCAGAAAGUUGGAGGUGAAAUCCCAGGGCUCAACCUUGGAACUGCCUUCAAAACUCCUGGUCUGGAGUUCGAGAGAGGUGAGUGGAAUUCCGAGUGUAGAGGUGAAAUUCGUAGAUAUUCGGAGGAACACCAGUGGCGAAGGCGGCUACCUAGACAGAGACUGACGCUGAUGCACGAAAGCGUGGGGAGCAAACAGGAUUAGAUACCCGGGUAGUCC
rnacentral:rRNA from 1 species